rnacentral:lncRNA from 10 species
GCCAGGUUUUUCUGGGAAAUGGCAAACCUCUCACUGCCCUUCCCAGAAAGGCCUUCCUCCUGCCAGGAGGCUGUUUAAUCAGAACCACAAACAAUCGUGAAUAAAGGGAAGGUAGUCAUAUUAAGCAGCACCUGUCCUGUAGGGAACGCAAUGAUUGCAGAGGAAAAACACAGAGUGAAGCCUGCUUGCAUCUCCCUGGGGUGUAGAGACUGACUUCCUCCCACAGCAUGAGAAAAUUAAUGCUGGGAGAUUUAAAAUGAAUUGCCCAAGAACACACAGUAUGACAUUGGCAGAGCUGUGGGCAACUUCUGCUAUCCCUGUCUUGGAAUCCAGUCACCAUGUAAAAAAUGCCACUGCCCUGAGACCACCCACCAUGCUGUUAAGAAGCCCAAGCAAGUGAAGUCACCGUAUACUAGAAUGGAAAUUUGAUAGGUAAGUCCACAAGAGUGUCCAAGGCAUAGUGCAUAUCCUAUAGAAACUCAGCUGUUGGGAAAAUGCAGACAAUCAUGUUGGUCAAGAGCAACACAUUCUCAUGGCAGAAGAAAUUUGCAAAUUCACUUCAUUGCUUUCAAAAGGAUUUGGAUUCUCAGGCCGAAUUGUCCUGAAAUCAAAAGUGCAGUUGACACAGUUUUGCCUCUCAUCCUGAGCAUCCUUGUCCACCAUUAAAAUGUUUCUAACAAUGAAAGGAACUCACCAGAGCCCCAGACUCAGCCUACAAAUCAAGCUUUAUUUUUAAAUAUUAAAAAGAAAAAAAUCUGUUAGAUUGACUUUUACAAGGAAAUAAAGCCAGGUUACUGAAUGAAUUCAUCUGAAGGUUAUUUAUAGUUUUGUUGCUUGUUUGUUUUUAACCACAGACAACAUGUCUUAAUUGGAAUGGACAAUAAAGAUAAACUGCUUCAGCCCUCUUGUAAAAUGGUGCGUAGUGUGAUGCUCAUAGCUGAGAUUUGAAGAAAUACUUUCAUUCAUUUUCAUAUCCAUCCAGCAAUCAUUUGUCAAACAGUUAUUCAGCACUGAACCAUGGACCAGAAAAGGGACAGACAGAAGAAUAAGGCAACGUUGUCCUCUUGAAGUAGUUUGAAGUUUGGAGGGACACACAUUUAAUCAUUAAAUCUUCAGUAAGAAAAAACAUAACAUGUCUUGGCCGGGAGCGGUGGCUCACGCCUGUAAUCCCAGCACUUUGGGAGGCCAAGGCGGGCAGAUCACAAGGUCAGGAGUUCAAGAACAACCUGGUCAACAUAGUGAAACCCCAUCUCUACUAAAAAUAAAAAAAAUUAGUGGGGCUUGGUGGCGGGCGCCUGUAAUCCCAGCUACUCAAGAGGCUGAGGCAGGAGAACAGCUUGAACCCGGGAGGCGGAGCUUGCAGUGAGCCGAGAUUGCGCCACUGCACACCAGCUGGGUGACAGAGCGAGACUCCAUCUUAAAA